GACGAACGCUGGCGGCGUGCUUAACACAUGCAAGUCGAACGAAGUGGCGAACGGGUGAGUAACGCGUAGUCAACCUGCCCUUCAGAGGGGACAACCAGUUGAAACGGACGGCUAAUACCGCAUACUGAAGGAGGGGUUUGCGUCGGAUUAGCUAGUUGGGGGGGUGACGGCCCACCAAGGCGAUGGUCAGUAGCCGGGCUGGGAGGAUGAACGGCCACAUUGGGACUGGGACACGGCCCAGACUCCUACGGGGGGCAGCAGGGGGGAAUCUUCCGCAAUGGACGAAAGUCUGACGGAGCAACGCCGCGUGAGUGAUGACGGCCUUCGGGUUGUAAAGCUCUGUUAAUCGGGACGCGGUACCGGAAUAGAAAGCCACGGCUAACUACGUGCCAGCAGCCGCGGUAAUAC
rnacentral:rRNA from 1 species